rnacentral:RNase_P_RNA from 1 species
AGAGUCGAUCGGACAGUCGCUGUCUCGGUCUGCCUGCAGAUCGGGAGGGAGGAAAGUCCGGGCUCCAUAGGGCGAAGUGCCAGGUAACGCCUGGGAGGCGUGAGCCUACGGAAAGUGCCACAGAAAAUAACCGCCUAAGCGCUUCGGUGCCGGUAAGGGUGAAAAGGUGCGGUAAGAGCGCACCGCACGGCUGGCAACAGU